AACCCAUGAUGUGGACACUUUAACAACAUAUUCUUGAACCUAUUCCAAGCUUCAUCGAAAUUCUUUAAGUCGGCUUGGCGAAAGACAAAAAUGUCGUGCUUGAGCUU
rnacentral:snoRNA from 1 species